rnacentral:rRNA from 1 species
AGAUUGAACGCUGGCGGCAGGCCUAACACAUGCAAGUCGAGCGGUAGAGAGGUGCUUGCACCUCUUGAGAGCGGCGGACGGGUGAGUAAUGCCUAGGAAUCUGCCUAGUGGUGGGGGAUAACGUUCGGAAACGGACGCUAAUACCGCAUACGUCCUACGGGAGAAAGCGGGGGACCGUUCGGGCCUCGCGCCAUUAGAUG